GACGAACGCUGGCGGCGUGCCUAAUACAUGCAAGUUGAGCGCUGAAGGUUGGUACUUGUACCGACUGGAUGAGCAGCGAACGGGUGAGUAACGCGUGGGGAAUCUGCCUUUGAGCGGGGGACAACAUUUGGAAACGAAUGCUAAUACCGCAUAAAAACUUUAAACACAAGUUUUAAGUUUGAAAGAUGCAAUUGCAUCACUCAAAGAUGAUCCCGCGUUGUAUUAGCUAGUUGGUGAGGUAAAGGCUCACCAAGGCGAUGAUACAUAGCCGACUUGAGAGGGUGAUCGGCCACAUUGGGACUGAGACACGGCCCAAACUCCUACGGGAGGCAGCAGUAGGGAAUCUUCGGCAAUGGACGAAAGUCUGACCGAGCAACGCCGCGUGAGGGAAGAAGGUUUUCGGAUCGUAAAACUCGGUUGGUAGAGAAGAACGUUGGUGAGAGUGGAAAGCUCAUCAAGUGACGGUAACUACCCAGAAAGGGACGGCUAACUACGUG
rnacentral:rRNA from 1 species